rnacentral:rRNA from 1 species
CGUCGUUAGUUAGAACAUGUCUAAGAGAGACUGCCGGUGAUAANCCCGGAGGAAGGUGGGGAUGACGUCAAGUCAGCAUGGCCUUUAUGUCCUGGGCUACACACACGCUACAAUGGCCGGUACAANGGGCUAGCCAANCCGCGAGGNGGAGCCAAUCCCAGUAAAGCCGGUCUNAGUUCGAUUGCAGUCUGCAACUCGCCUGCAUGAAGUCGGAGUUGCUAGUAAUCGCNCNUCAGNAUCAGUGCGUG